UGGGGAAUAUUGGACAAUGGGCGCAAGCCUGAUCCAGCCAUGCCGCGUGAGUGAUGAAGGCCCUAGGGUUGUAAAGCUCUUUCACCGGUGAAGAUAAUGACGGUAACCGGAGAAGAAGCCCCGGCUAACUUCGUGCCAGCAGCCGCGGUAAUACGAAGGGGGCUAGCGUUGUUCGGAUUUACUGGGCGUAAAGCGCACGUAGGCGGACUUUUAAGUCAGGGGUGAAAUCCCGGGGCCCAACCCCGGAACUGCCUUUGAUACUGGAAGUCUUGAGUAUGGUAGAGGUGAGUGGAAUUCCGAGUGUAGAGGUGAAAUUCGUAGAUAUUCGGAGGAACACCAGUGGCGAAGGCGGCUCACUGGACCAUUACUGACGCUGAGGUGCGAAAGCGUGGGGAGCAAACAGG
rnacentral:rRNA from 1 species